rnacentral:lncRNA from 1 species
UUCAAAUCUCCAGCAAUGGUAUAAACAUGGCCACCUUGGGAAUUGGACUUGAUGCAAGAAUCUGCAUCCACGUACGCUGGAUCAUCCAGUAUAGGAUUGCUGCAAUUCAUGUAAACUACGUGCUGGAAUAGUCGUAAUGUUCCAGAAGGUAUUCUGUACUGGAAAUUUUGAUAUGGAUCCUCGUAGUAAGUAUAAUUGUAAGAACUUGUGAAAUUUGAUGAGGUUAGGAAAUUCCGGGGAAUUGAAGAGCAAUCACCUUCUUUUAUUCCAGGAUCAACUAACCGAAUUGUGUAGUUAUUGUAGUUGAUUGAUUUUACAUGGUAUUUACCAGAAAGCAGCUUUAACAUUGUGAUGUUUUUUUCGCAGGAUAACUCGUACCUCGGAUCACCGCAGGUUGCUGGAUCAUUCUUAAGUCGGAAGGGAUACUUUAUGUUGCUGAUUUUGCCACAUGAAGAAGGGGGACAAGUUUUAUUAAUAUUACUAUUUGUUGCAUCACAUGUUUGAUGAUGAUGC